rnacentral:rRNA from 1 species
AGAUUGAACGCUAGCGGGAUGCCUUACACAUGCAAGUCGAACGGCAGCACGGACUUCGGUCUGGUAGCGAGUGGCGAACGGGUGAGUAAUGUAUCGGAACGUGCCUAGUAGCGGGGGAUAACUACGCGAAAGCGUAGCUAAUACCGCAUACGCCCUACGGGGGAAAGCAGGGGAUCGUAAGACCUUGCACUAUUAGAGCGGCCGAUAUCGGAUUAGCUAGUUGGUGGGGUAACGGCUCACCAAGGCGACGAUCCGUAGCUGGUUUGAGAGGACGACCAGCCACACUGGGACUGAGAUACGGCCCAGACUCCUACGGGAGGCAGCAGUGGGGAAUUUUGGACAAUGGGGGAAACCCUGAUCCAGCCAUCCCGCGUGUGCGAUGAAGGCCUUCGGGUUGUAAAGCACUUUUGGCAGGAAAGAAACGUCAUGGGUUAAUACCCCGUGAAACUGACGGUACCUGCAGAAUAAGCACCGGCUAACUACGUGCCAGCAGCCGCGGU